rnacentral:misc_RNA from 1 species
UAAUAAAGUGUUUUAUGGCACUUUUCAAAAUCCAUAUCCACCUUGUGUGCAAUGUCUGUCUAUCUUCUUCAUGAGAUCCAAACAUCACCUUUAUUUUUUAAUGCGCUUUAUCUGAAGAUCAGUAUAUUAUGAAUAACUAAUUCAAAAUA